UACGUAGGUGACAAGCGUUGUCCGGAUUUACUGGGCGUAAAGAGCGCGCAGGCGGUCGUUCAAGUCGAGUGUGAAAGCCCCCGGCUCAACUGGGGAGGGUCAUUCGAUACUGUUCGACUCGAAGGCAGGAGAGGGAAGUGAAUUCCGGGUGUAGUGGUGAAAUGCGUAGAUAUCCGGAGGAAACACCAGUGGCGAGGCGACUUU
rnacentral:rRNA from 1 species